rnacentral:rRNA from 1 species
AUCCUUGGGAUACCACCCUUGUAGUACUGGGACUCUAACCAUAGGCCAUGAAUCUGGUCUUGGGACACUGUCAGGUGGGCAGUUUGACUGGGGCGGUCGCCUCCCAAAAGGUAACGGAGGCGCUCAAAGGUUCUCUCAGUACGGUCGGAAAUCGUACGUAGAGUGUAAAGGCAAAAGAGAGCUUGAUUGCAAGACAUACAGGUCGAGCAAGGAUGAAAAUCGGACUUAGUGAUCCGGUGGUUCUGCGUGGAAGGGCCAUCGCUCAACGGAUAAAAG